AGUUCAGUGGGGCGGAUGUCAUCGGAAAAAGGACGUAAAUGGGACCGGCGGAGCUUGGUGGUGUCACUGGUGGGGCGUUUAAACAAAAAAAAACAAAUGCACGCGAAUGAGUCUGCACCCGUUGAGCGGUCCAUGGUUUCAUUCUACUCUUCGAUCCCAUAAAAAGCUUGGCAUGGAGAUAGAUGAACGCCAGCUUGCGGUAAGUGAUUUUUCAUUUCUAAGCAUGGGUGAAAUAGUGAAAAGUGCACAUAGUGAAGGAAACGGAAGCAAUUACAUUUAGAAAUUUACUAGGUGAGAUAUAACGACACUUUCCAAGUCAAUUAGCUUAUUAAGAGGAUCGAAGUAGUCGCGGUACUGCAAAUCGUUUAACAAAGCCACUUGCCAAUCAAGAAAUCGGUUUCCUCGUACGAGCCGGUAUAGCCAUGAAUUCAUAGUUAUACUUGUUUAGUGCGAAGUUGUCCCCUUUUUGCUACUUGAUGUUCGAUAAAAUAUAAGAUAGCUGGCUUGGGUGUUUGAUUGUAUAUCAUAUAGUAAUUAGAAGAAGGUAAGUGAUUUACUUUUAAAUUACUUGGUAUUUGGUUUGGUUGCUAUGCUUGUAUUGGCCUUCCUUAUUAACAUUAUAACCAACCUGGUUAGUCACUAAACAUUUGUCUUGAAAAUAUUGUGUGGUACUCUAGCGUCAUCAAGAAAUGCACUUAUGUUGAUCCACCUGUACCACUCGCUAGUAUCUCAUUCUUCAGUAGAUCUUCGUUUUAUUUUAACCAGGAAAGUAUAUUGGUCUAAACUACUAAACAGAAAAG